rnacentral:rRNA from 1 species
ACCUAUGGACGGGAAUAACCUCGGGAAACUGAGAAUAAUGCCCGAUAGAACAUUAUGCCUGGAAUGGUUUAUGUUCCAAAUGAUUUAUCGCCGUAGGAUGGGACUGCGGCCUAUCAGUUUGUUGGUGAGGUAAUGGCCCACCAAGACUAUUACAGGUACGGGCUCUGAGAGGAGUAGCCCGGAGAUGGGUACUGAGACACGGACCCAGGCCCUAUGGGGCGCAGCAGGCGAGAAAACUUUGCAAUGUGCGAAAGCACGACAAGGUUAAUCCGAGUGGUUUCUGCUAAAGAAACCUUUUGUCAGUCCUAGAAACACUGAUGAAUAAGGGGUGGGCAAGUUCUGGUGUCAGCCGCCGCGGUAAAACCAGCACCUCAAGUGGUCAGGAUGAUUAUUGGGCCUAAAGCAUCCGUAGCCGGCUCUGUAAGUUUUCGGUUAAAUCUGUACGCUCAACGUACAGGCUGCCGGGAAUACUGCAGAGCUAGGGAGUGGGAGAGGUAGACGGUACUCGGUAGGAAGGGGUAAAAUCCUUUGAUCUAUUGAUGACCACCUGUGGCGAAGGCGGUCUACCAGAACACGUCCGACGGUGAGGGAUGAAAGCUGGGGGAGCAAACCGGAUUAGAUACCCGGGUAGUCCCAGCUGUAAACUAUGCAAACUCAGUGAUGCAUUGGCUUGUGGCCAAUGCAGUGCUGCAGGGAAGCCGUUAAGUUUGCCGCCUGGGAAGUACGUACGCAAGUAUGAAACUUAAAGGAAUUGGCGGGGGAGCACCACAAGGGGUGAAGCCUGCGGUUCAAUUGGAGUCAACGCCGGG